rnacentral:rRNA from 2 species
ACGCGGCGUGUGCCUAAUACAUGCAAGUCGAACGCGUUGGCCCAAUUGAUUGAUGGUGCUUGCACCUGAUUGAUUUUGGUCGCCAACGAGUGGCGGACGGGUGAGUAACACGUAGGUAACCUGCCCAGAAGCGGGGGACAACAUUUGGAAACAGAUGCUAAUACCGCAUAACAGCGUUGUUCGCAUGAACAACGCUUAAAAGAUGGCUUCUCGCUAUCACUUCUGGAUGGACCUGCGGUGCAUUAGCUUGUUGGUGGGGUAACGGCCUACCAAGGCGAUGAUGCAUAGCCGAGUUGAGAGACUGAUCGGCCACAAUGGGACUGAGACACGGCCCAUACUCCUACGGGAGGCAGCAGUAGGGAAUCUUCCACAAUGGGCGCAAGCCUGAUGGAGCAACACCGCGUGAGUGAAGAAGGGUUUCGGCUCGUAAAGCUCUGUUGUUAAAGAAGAACACGUAUGAGAGUAACUGUUCAUACGUUGACGGUAUUUAACCAGAAAGUCACGGCUAACUACGUGCCAGCAGCCGCGGUAUAAA